rnacentral:rRNA from 1 species
AACGAACGCUGGCGGCAGGCCUAACACAUGCAAGUCGAGCGAGGACCUCGGUUCUAGCGGCGGACGGGUGAGUAACGCGUGGGAAUGUGCCCUUCUCUACGGAAUAGCCCUGGGAAACUGGGAGUAAUACCGUAUACGCCCUUUUGGGGAAAGAUUUAUCGGAGAAGGAUCAGCCCGCGUUGGAUUAGGUAGUUGGUGGGGUAAUGGCCUACCAAGCCGACGAUCCAUAGCUGGUUUGAGAGGAUGAUCAGCCACACUGGGACUGAGACACGGCCCAGACUCCUACGGGAGGCAGCAGUGGGGAAUCUUAGACAAUGGGGGCAACCCUGAUCUAGCCAUGCCGCGUGAGUGAUGAAGGCCUUAGGGUUGUAAAGCUCUUUCAGCUGGGAAGAUAAUGACGGUACCAGCAGAAGAAGCCCCGGCUAACUCCGUG